rnacentral:rRNA from 1 species
GACGAACGCUGGCGGCGUGCUUAACACAUGCAAGUCGAACGGAGUGGUGAACGGGUGAGUAACACGGGGGUUAUCUGCCUUGCACUUCGGGAUAAGCUUGGGAAACUGGGUCUAAUACCGGAUAGUGCAAGAUGAGCUCGCGGCCGAUCAGCUUGUUGGUGGGGUAAUGGCCUACCAAGGCGUCGACGGGUAGCCGGCCUGAGAGGGUGUACGGUCACAUAGGGACUGAGAUACGGCCCAGACUCCUACGGGGGGCAGCAGUGGGGAAUAUUGCACAAUGGGCGGGAGCCUGACUCAGCGACGCCGCGUGGGGGAUGAAGGCCUUCGGUUUGUAAACUCCUUUCGACAGGGACGCGGUACCUGUAUAAGAAGCACCGGCUAACUACGUGCCAGCAGCCGCGGUAAUUC